UCAAGCUCACAUGAUUAUGUGAUCAUUUUGGAGUGGUUUGGCCAAAGAUUGGUUGAUCAAAGCUCAACAGUCAAGCUGAAUUUUAUCUGAAACCCUAGAAAGCCAACUGUAAGUCAACUGAGGGCUAGGAAGUGGAGAGAUGGUUUGAGACGCUUCCUUCAUGUCCCAAAGAAGGUCAUUUGUCAUUACAAACACUUAUCUGGAAGAAGAAAUCAUUUCGUUCUUUUCUCGAAUUAAUCUUGGAAAGUCAAGUUGGGUUGGAUGAUCCUGGUUGAUUACUGAAGAGUUGAUUUGGUUGUGGAAAUUUAAUCGUGGUUGCAUUGAGCCCAUUCAUUUCUUUUUGUUAAGCCCAUAAUUUUAGCCCAUUAACCAUUUUCCAAAUAAUUCCAUUUUAUUAUCCAAAUCAUAAUCCAUAAUCCAUUUAGUUUGAUUUUAACACAAUCCAAUUUAACCAUGAUCCAUUUUUAUAUCCAUUUAACCAUUUCAUUGUUUUAACCAAUUAUCCAACUUUUUGAAUCCAUAAACCACAUAAACCAAAAUCUUAU
rnacentral:lncRNA from 1 species